UAGUCAUAUGCUUGUCUAAAAGAUUAAGCCAUGCAUGUCUAAGUAUAAACAUUUAUACUGUGAAACUGCGGACGGCUCAUUAAAUCAGUUAUAGUUUACUUGAUCAUAUUUCUUACUUGGAUAACCGUAGUAAUUCUAGAGCUAAUACAUGCGAAAAAUCUGGUCUCUUUUGAGAUAGGAUGAAUUUAUUAGAUUAGAACCGGCGCAGGGUUUUUAAUCCUGAGUUAUGGUGAUUCAUAAUAACUAAUCGAAUCGCAAAGACUUUUUGUCAGCGAUG
rnacentral:rRNA from 1 species